UACGAAGGGUGCAAACGUUGCUCGGAAUUAUUGGGCGUAAAGCGCACGUAGGCGGCUCCAAAAGUCGGAUGUGAAAUCCCUCGGCUCAACCAAGGAAGUGCACCCGAAACUGCGGAGCUUGAGUAUGGAAGAGGGUCGCGGAAUUCCCGGUGUAGAGGUGAAAUUCGUAGAUAUCGGGAGGAACACCAGUGGCGAAGGCGGCGACCUGGGCCAAUACUGACGCUGAGGUGCGAAAGCGUGGGGAGCAAACAGG
rnacentral:rRNA from 1 species